rnacentral:rRNA from 1 species
GACGGGGGGGGCAAGUGUUCUUCGGAAUGACUGGGCGUAAAGCGCGUGUAGGCGGCCAUCUAAGUCGGGCGUGAAAUCCCACGGCUCAACCGUGGAAGUGCACUCGAAACUGGAUGGCUAGAGUCCUGGAGAGGAAGGUGGAAUGCUUGGUGUAGAGGUGAAAUUCGUAGAUAUCAAGCGGAACACCGGUGGCGAAGGCGGCCUUCUGGACAGUGACUGACGCUGAGACGCGAAAGCGUGGGGAGCAAACAGG